rnacentral:rRNA from 1 species
UACGUAGGGUGCGAGCGUUAAUCGGAAUUACUGGGCGUAAAGUGUGCGUAGGCGGUUCGUUAAGUUCGUUGUGAAAGCCCCGGGCUCAACCUGGGAACUGCAAUGGAAACUAGCGGGCUUGAGUGUGGCAGAGGGGGGUGGAAUUCCACGUGUAGCAGUGAAAUGCGUAGAGAUGUGGAGGAACACCGAUGGCGAAGGCAGCCCCCUGGGUCAACACUGACGCUCAUGCACGAAAGCGUGGGGAGCAAACAGG